UUUGACCUCCUAUCGCAAGAAAUAACGAUCGAGAUUCGUCAUCAAGAUUCUCACUAAGAAAUAGUACUCUGGCAGCUUCAGUGAUUGUUAAACCCCUUGGUAAAAAAUUCAUUGCUUCCUUGCAGGUUUCCCGGUGUCGUACCUGACCUAUACCUUCAGGAAGCAUAGAUGGACGCAUACAGAGGAGGUACAUCAUGUAAUCAGAUAAGCGCUUGCUAAUCUGGCCAUACGGACCGACAUUACCAGGACGUUGAAGAUAGAAAAGAAUAUCGGUAGCGAUGUGCCA
rnacentral:lncRNA from 1 species